UACGGGGGGUGCAAGCGUUGCUCGGAAUCACUGGGCGUAAAGCGUCUGUAGGUGGUCAAAUAAGUCAACUGUUAAAUCUUGAGGCUCAACCUCAAAAUCGCAGUCGAAACUAUUAGACUAGAGUAUAGUAGGGGUAAAGGGAAUUUCCAGUGGAGCGGUGAAAUGCGUAGAGAUUGGAAAGAACACCGAUGGCGAAGGCACUUUACUGGGCUAUUACUAACACUCAGAGACGAAAGCUAGGGUAGCAAAUGGG
rnacentral:rRNA from 1 species